CAUAAAUAAUCACGUAUGCACGAUGUAAUGAUGUGUGAUCACUUAGCCACUACUGUGUCACAGCUACCACAUGUUUAGAAGACCAGCAGUGACCAUAGAAGAAAAAAGCACCAGUGGGUUAUUUGCAAACUGAAAUGUAAAGGCAGCUACACCUUGCUUUUCCAGAGGACUGCCUUGGCAAAAAUUUUAUAAGACUCCCAGACUGCAUUCUCAUCAGGAAUAAAAAGCAUACAACUGCAAUGCCAAUGUUUGAACUCUCCACACCCGCUGAAAGACAUAAAAUAUUGUCUGCUCAUGUAGCCAAGUUUGUUGGCAGGCACAUGAAUGAAACAUCUCGCAUCAUGUUCCAUUAAAAAAUGGGGAAGUUUAAACUGGCUGCAGUUUCAUCUAUUUCUUUUUUCAAAUGUAUCCUGAACACUAUGUGCCUAGUCAUUCAUCUGCUCAGGAAAAAAUAAAACUAAAUGGCAUCCCAGAAUAGCUCCAUAAAUUUCUGCAAUCCUGCCUCCAAAUAAGGCAUACCCAUGCCCCUGUGAGAGGCUGUGAAGUCCAAGAUAAAGGUAACAUCAGGCUCAGUGUCUUGUGAGGGCUCUGGUCUCCAAUUCCAAGAUGGUGCCUUGUUCCUUCGUCCUCCAGUGGGGCAAACACUGUGUCCUCACAUGCCUAAAGGCAGAAGAGCAAAAGGGGCAGAAGAGUCACAAGCCAUGCCUGAGGGCAAUUCCAAGGCCGAAGCUAUGGAUGAGAGGGUGAUCUGACAGGGACAGCUGUCAUCAGUCAUCCUGUUGACCUUCGAGGUUAAUUCACCUGAUCUGGCUGGCUGACUGAGGGUCAUCUCCAUCCGCCCUCACUACCCCAUGGGCAUCCCUUUUG
rnacentral:lncRNA from 1 species